CCUACGGGCGGCUGCAGUGGGGAAUAUUGCACAAUGGGCGCAAGCCUGAUGCAGCCAUGCCGCGUGUGUGAAGAAGGCCUUCGGGUUGUAAAGCACUUUCAGCGGGGAGGAGGGCGGUGAGGUUAAUAACCUCAUCGAUUGACGUUACCCGCAGAAGAAGCACCGGCUAACUCCGUGCCAGCAGCCGCGGUAAUACGGAGGGUGCAAGCGUUAAUCGGAAUUACUGGGCGUAAAGCGCACGCAGGCGGUCUGUCAAGUCGGAUGUGAAAUCCCCGGGCUCAACCUGGGAACUGCAUUCGAAACUGGCAGGCUAGAGUCUUGUAGAGGGGGGUAGAAUUCCAGGUGUAGCGGUGAAAUGCGUAGAGAUCUGGAGGAAUACCGGUGGCGAAGGCGGCCCCCUGGACAAAGACUGACGCUCAGGUGCGAAAGCGUGGGGAGCAAACAGGAUUAGAUACCCGUGUAGUC
rnacentral:rRNA from 1 species